AAUUGUAGAUUAUACCUUAUCAUAUUAUGGUAAUUACCUCCUAAAGGCUCAUUUACCUCGAGUUCCUUUAUCAAAUCCGGUUCAUUCCACAACACUAAAUCCAAAAUUGCCUUCUCCCUGGUAGGCUCCAGUACAAGCUGC